ACAGCUGUUUCCAAUAUAAAGUUUAAUGUCAUUGUUCCGUCUGCAGAACAACUGGAGCAACACAUGGAGCCAAUGGUGAAAUAUUACUUAGAAAUAAAAUACUAAUCUGCAAAGUUCAUAUCUCAAUUUGUGAAAAUAUAAUUUUUUUAUUGAAAACCUCAAAUUUUCAAGAAAAAAAAUCACAUCACUGUAAAAUUCAAAUCGAUGUUUUCAGAGUUGAUAUUUCAGACGAUUAUCGUUCCAUAGACAAAAACCAGAGAUCAGCUGAUCGAAUCAGCUCAUGUGUCAGUUACUCUCAUGCUUUUAUUUGAUAAAUUCAAACGUUCAAUCACAAAUUUCUUUUUCUGCCUCAGUCGACCAAACACAGUCGAUGAGUUUCUGUUUGAUUAGAAUCUAAUUAACAGCAAACAAGCAAACAAACAAACAACAGGUCACAUGUUGAAUGGGAGGUUUCCUCAUCUGGACACAUCUGGACUCCAGGGACGAAGCUUCCUGCUGAAAUUAACAGGAAUCUCUGAGAAUGAACUGAUGGAAUAAAAACAACGGACGGGUUUUCUCUGUGAAGGUCACAUGGUCACGUGUUCAUGUUUGGAUUAUUACCUGAUGGACGACGGACGGAGGACGACUCGUCCAAACUGAGGCUCCUCCUCUUCUUCUCGUCACAUCUCGAUGCCUGGAGUUCAACAUGUCUGCUUCUGUCCCUCCUCUUCCUCCUCUUCUUCCUCUUCUUCAUCUAUCUUCCACUGACGACGUGAAUCAAAAUAACUCGCCGGAGACACGGAGCUGUGAGACGCCUUCAGACAAGAGGACGUCCUGACUGAUUUUUGCACAGAGCGAAGCUACAUUAGGACUCUGAGGUACAACAAACGUUACUUGAAUCAUCGUAUGUAUAUUUACAACACGGAGUCGUUCCCGUGUCACAGAUGUUUUACUGCUCGUGAACAUCACUUUCAAACCAAAACAUAUUAUUGCAUGCCUGGAAAGUAAAAGCAUGGAAACAGAAGAAAACAAGUUUGACUCUUCGACGGCUCAACACAACAACAACAACAACAACAACAACAACAACAACAACAACAACAACAACAACAACAACAACAAGUCAUCGAUAUCAAGUUCACUCAAAUAAUUCUGUUCCACCACUGGGGUGAGUUUCUAAAUCUCUAUUUUUAAAGUGUCACACUGUCGAUGUUUUAUAUUGAGAGAAAUCGGUUAAAUCGAGAUUUAUUUAGUAAAUUUUGAAACAUUUUUGCAGAAGCUUUUUGAAUUUGUCUUUUUAUUGAUUUUCACCUUCAGCUCAGAUGAGAACUCUUGUUUUGUUCCGAUGAUUCAAACGAAUGUGCUGGAAACCAGCAAAGAAGGAGCUGAAAUUAAAUUUAUCGCAGACAUCCGACACUUUUUGUUUUGAUAAUUCUGAAUGUUUCUGAUUGUGUUUGGUUUCUUUUGGAUCAGAAUGCUGUAAUAUCUGUUAAUCAUCUACCUCAGUGUUGGCUCAUUAUCGACAGAAGCUUUAAUGACGUGGUUCUCCCUCCGUUAUCUGAACACAGGCAGACCUGGGUUUCAAAUGUCUGUGAUUUUCUGGUGCAACUAAAUCAAGUUGAAUAAUCGAUAAACUGCCAUCUAGUAACUUAGAAGAGGAAAACGCAUUACCAUCAAAUUAACUGGGUUGUAUAAACGUGGGUUUUAUAUAUUAUUUGCACAUUUUAUUAACUUAUUUUUCAGAGUCAGUGUGAUUGAAUGAGUGAUAUUGAAUUAAAGGGCAAUAAUGUAUUUCAGAUGGUUUCCUGCCUUUGAAUCAAGGAGGCGGAGUCAGUCCGUCCAUUCUUUAAUGAAAUCUAAAUUCAGCUGCAGAACAUUCGAGCGUCACUCAGAGGAACACGGUUCGAGGUGAUGGUUAUUCUUCUGUCACAAGGUUCAGACAAUUAAAGGGAAAGUUUCACAUUUUGGGAAAUAACUUUGUUAACUUCAAAUAUCCAGGUUGUGUUUAGCCUUUAGCUUAGCAUAAAAACAGAGUGUAAUGGGACACUGUCUAACGCAGCUCCAUUCAAAUCUAAUUAUCCCUGAGAACAACUUUUCUGAUUGACACGUCGCCGUAAGUGUGAUUAGCGGUGAAGCUAAAUAUUAACCUGAAAGACUUUUCUGGAAAGUUUUAACUUUUGGACCAAUCACAGGAAGUAGAGACGCUAUUAAACAGUAGAAGAAGAAAAAGAAGAGGAAGCAGCUGCAGUCUUCUUCUCUGACGAUAAAGUGAAUGAACCAUCAUGACGUUACCAUGACAACCACAUGAAGCUUCAUUCAUUUUCCCCAUUCAAAUUCUUUAGUCCUUAAGUUACUCUGUGAAACUAAAACUGAUCAGAUGAAACAUGAACAAACAGGAAGCUUCGGACUCAGACAGGAAACGUCCUGAAACAAGAAGACAAACGAAAACUUUUCCCAAAAUGUGGAACGUUGAUCUGAAUCAUUAUUAAACGUUAGUUAACGUGAACUCUGCUGUUUGGUCGUCUUGAGACUCGGUGAUGAUUAAUGAUGAGCUGGUCGUUGUUCUGCAUACUGUGUGUGCAUUAAUAAUUCUGUCAACAAUAAGGAAAGACUUCCACCUGCGCUCAGUCUUCAUCAGAUCCUGUUCUCAUGCAUCGUCGUCUCACUUCAGACCUUUUCACCAAACUCUCAUUUUCAUGCAAAAACAAGAAAGAGCAAUAGUGUGAGUGUUUCCUGAGCUUCAGAGCUGAAGCCUCUUCCUCUUUUUUAUUUCCACCUUUUGAUUAUUGCCAUGUUUAUUUUGACAAUCCUCAACUGUGAUCUAUUUUUGAUAAAAUAAAACUUCAACCCUGA